UCAAAUUGCUUAUUUCU
rnacentral:miRNA from 1 species